rnacentral:ncRNA from 1 species
GACGUAAUGUGAUUUCUGCCCAGUGCUCUAAAUGUUAAAGUGAAUAAAUUCAACCAAGAACGAGUAAAUAGAGGGAGUAACUAUGAUUAGUGAUUCACAUGAAUUAGUGAUUCACAUGAAUGGAUUAACUAGAUUCCCACUAUCCCUAUCUACUAUCUAGCGAAACCACAACUAAGGGAAUGGGCUCAUCAUAAUCAAUAGGGAAAGAAUACCUUGUUGAGAUUGAAUGUAUUCGGACUUCGUGAAAUGGAUUGAGAGUUGUAGAAUAAGUGGGAAUUGUUUUCGACACAAAUGAAAUACCACUACUUUUACCAUUAUUUUACUUAUAAUUUUGUGGGGCGGAGACAAGGCAUUUACCCUAUCUUUGGCCUUAAGUCAUGUCAAAACCCUAUAUAUUAUUAAAGAUGUAAACACCCCUAUCCAUGAGCCUUUGUUUAAAUACAAAUGGAAAAAAAAGGUGGAUACAAAAAAGCAACCCAUUCCUCCUCAGGGUCCUCCCUAGGAUCUUGUUGUAUCUCAUAAUGUUGCACACUCCAUUGAUAUCCAUGUUGUUAUCUAAUUUUUUACUAGCCCUCCUCGU